rnacentral:rRNA from 1 species
CCCUUAGAUGUUCUGGGCCGCACGCGCGCUACACUGAUGCAUUCAACAAGUUCUACCUUGGCCGAGAGGCCUGGGAAAUCUUUCAAAUAUGUAUCGUGAUAGGGAUAGAUUAUUGCAAUUAUUAAUCUUGAACGAGGAAUUCCUAGUAAAUGCAGAUCAUCAUUCUGCGUUGAUUACGUCCCUGCCCUUUGCACACACCGCCCGUCGCACCUACCGAUUGAAUGAUCCGGUGAAGCCUCGGGAUUGUGCCCAGAGAACUUUAUUGUGAUUUGGGUGUGAGAACUUGUCUAAACCUUAUCAUUUAGAGGAAGGUGAAGUCGUAACA